rnacentral:hammerhead_ribozyme from 1 species
AUUCGAGUCCCAGAGUGAACAUCAGCUCUGAGAUGCAGGUACAUCCUUAAUUCACAAAUAGGACGAAACGCGCGUCCUGGAU